rnacentral:rRNA from 1 species
AUGUACUACCUUGACCGAUGUGGAGACCAAACCACGGCCGCGUGCCUCAUCCUUGCCCCGUACGCUGCAUAUAAAGUAGGCGCCAAGCCCCCACGGCAAUUUCGUUUCAGAAAAGCUCUGUCGCUGUUUCAUCCAGUGCCCCGCCAAUAUCUCCAAAACUCUCCGUGGUCAGGGAAUAGAGUGGUGCUAGAGAGAUGGAUGGCCGCAAUCUGCUGGGUGCUGCAGGAGCUGAUCGAGCGAGGCGGAACAAGGCCAAGAUCGUCAAGAUGGCGGUGCGCGCUGGCCAUGCUGCUGCUGCUGCUGCUCACGGCGGCGGCGGCGGUCUCCAUGGCGCCCGACGGCCCUGCCCGGCUCCACGCCUUGUUCUGCAGCAACCACUUCGUGAUGAUGUGCGUGCUCUCCCAGAUCAACCUGGCCUGUCUUUUCGCGAGGAAGGCCGCUCGGGCGCGGACGCUGGCGGCCCGGCGCUUCUACGCGGUGGGCGCCGCCGCGUGCUUCGUGGAGCUCGCGCUCAAGCCGUACAGGAUCCGUCUGCUGUGCCACGCGGCUGUGGAGGAUGAUGCCUAG